UAGAAGGGCAUAGAGUUAAUAGCUAUAAUACGUAAAGAGUGCUUGCAAAUUGACAAGAAGAUAUCAAACAACCCCCACCCAAGAAGGACAAGCCUAGGAGGGGGAGGGGGAGGGAAGAAGAGACUGCCCCCUCCCACUCUCUAGGAGCCUGGAGACUUUCUUAACCAAGGCUGGAAAUUUUGAAUCUAUAAGAUAAACAGAGGACCUGUUGAACCGUAUAAAACUUAAACCUUUUGUGUAGGAACAAACACAAACAACAACCUAAUCUGGGGAAAAAAUAGGCAAUUCUUGUAACAUACAAUGGACACUCACCCAUCAGCAAGCAGAAAUGACACAAGUCAAAGGAGAAAUGAAGAAGCAGCACAGGAAGGAGAGGGAGGCUGGGAUCUCGUGGGGGACAGGGCCCCCCAUAUCCGGGAGCCUGGCCAAGGCCCUUCCAAGGCUCUGUGGAAGCUCCGGCCUCCUGCCAGGUGAGAAGAGGGUCAAGAGUGUGGAUGAGCUGAUCAGACAGACGACGGGUCAAGUCGGUGGCUCUGUGGGUGAGUCCAAGUCUCGGCCUCAGUUUCCCUCAUCUGUAAAAUGGGUGGUAUUUCUUCCUGCACUAAGGGUUGUGGUGGAGGCUGCAAGGGGUAGAGAAAGUGCAGGGGUUAGAGGAACAGCCUACAGACUGGGGCCAAAUCUCUGCUUCUCCAGGAGCUUCUGUCACGAUUUCCUCCCCGGGCGCUGUGGAGACCGGGACAGUCUCCAUCUCGGAAUGCCGGUGUGAGGGGCAGACGAACAAGGCAGUAAUGAAGAAUGGCCUGCCCUUGAGGAGCCCAUGAGCCCUUGAGAAAAUCAGACGAUCCAACAACCUUGAUUCGACAUUUUUCACCAGACCUCAAAAAAGAAGAUUGGGAUACACGCGAAAGUGCCGCGAAAGGAAAAAAGAGUGUUUGUCUCAAGGCAGGACCUGAACACAAACGACAGUAGAGGUGGCACAUAAUUUAGAUGAAAAUGCUAAAUCUGUUGCAUAAAUGCAAGAAACUAUUCCGAUCAGGCCUUAAGUUCACACUGGAUCGUCAGAACUCGUUAUGCUUCUGAGAGGCUGUGUUACUGAAUGGGGUUAUUUCUACAUCAUUCUUAAGGGCUCACGUCACGGUCCAAAGCAGCCAC
rnacentral:lncRNA from 1 species